rnacentral:lncRNA from 1 species
GGGGUGGGAGAGACAUGGUCUAGCAGCCAGAUGGUUAAAACCAAUUUAUUUCCUGGGUGCAGGGUGUGGGGUGUUGGAUAUGGAAGGGAGUCCUGAGGUGUAUAGUAGUGAUCAAAUCACAACCAUAAUCGUAACAAUCAUAAUAUUGCCACUGUUCUCAAAUAAAGGAGCAAGUUGUAAUGUUAAUAUCUUCUUCAGGCCGGGCACGGUGGCUCACACCUGUAAUCCCAGCACUUUGGGAGGCCGAGGUGGGUGGAUCACUUGAGGUCAAGCAUUUGAGAUCAGCCUGGCCAACAUGGCGAAACCUUGUCUCUACUAAAAAUACAAAAAUUAGCUGGGUGUGGUGGCACGCGCCUGUAAUCCCAGCUACUCCAGAGGCUGAAGCUCAAGAAUCACUUGAACCCGGGAGUAGGAGGUUGCAGUGAGCCAAGAUCGCGCCAUUGCACUCCAGCCUGGGAGACAGAGUAAGACUCCAUCUCAAAAAAAAAAAAAAACUUAUUUAGUAGUACUACGCCAUACGAAUUAUAAUAUGGUGACCAUAUCCAUUUUCUGAACACCACAGUUUUCAAAAAAGCUAGCGAGUAGUAGUUUUGUUUUUUUAUAAAGACAGGGUCUCACUCUUACAAAGCCCAGCCCAAGCUAGAGUGCAGUGGUGUAAUCACAGCUCACUGCAGCCUCAACCUCCCGGGAUCAAGUGAUCCUCCCGAGCCUCAGUCUCCCAAGUAGCUGGGACUACAGGCGUCCACCACCAAGCCCAGCUAAUUUUUUUAUGUUUUGCAGAGACAAGGUCCCGCUAUGUUUCCCUGGCUGGUCUCAAACUCCUGGGCUCAAGUGAUCCUUCCACCUCGGCCUCCCAAAGUGCUGGGAUUAUAGGCAUGAGUCCCCAAGCCUGGCUGAUAGUAGCAGUUUCUGAAUCUUGUCUGGGGCCCAAAUCUGGCUGAAGAGAGACCCUCUGAUCCUCUCCCCCUUCACUCAGUGAAUGAGGUCACAAAGAGCCACCACCUGGAAGGCAGCUGUGAGGUCACCCACACCCAGUUUGGCAUCUCUGAGCUGUGUGCUGUUGAGAAUGUUCGCUGCUGCCGGCUCUGCUACAUUCCAGUCCCUGCCUGGGUGUUGGCCACACAGGGGUGGAUUAGUUUCCUAGGCCUGCCGAAACAGAUUACCGUAAGCACAGUGACUUAGAACAAGAGUUCAUCUGCUCACAGUUCUGAAGGCCUGAAGUCAGAAACCAAGGGGCUGCCAGGGCCACCUCCCUCCGGAGGCUCCAGGCAAGAAUCUGUCCCUGCGUCUCCCAGCUCUGGGGGCCAAGGGCAUCCCUCCUGGCGGCAUCCUCCAGUCCCUGCCUCGCCUCCUCCUCGAGGUGCCUCUCCUCUGUGUGUCCCUUAGGACACUUGUCACAGGAUUUAGGGCCCAAUGGAUAGGACACUUUUUCAAAAUAAGGUCACAUCCACAGGUUCUGGGAUGUGGAUGUAUCUUUU